UACGUAGGGCGCAAGCGUUGUCCGGAAUUAUUGGGCGUAAAGAGCUCGUAGGCGGUCUGUCGCGUCCGUUGUGAAAACUCGAGGCUCAACCUCGGGCUUGCAGUGGAUACGGGCAGACUAGAGUGCGGUAGGGGAGGCUGGAAUUCCUGGUGUAGCGGUGGAAUGCGCAGAUAUCAGGAGGAACACCGAUGGCGAAGGCAGGUCUCUGGGCCGCAACUGACGCUGAGGAGCGAAAGCAUGGGGAGCGAACAGG
rnacentral:rRNA from 1 species